GGAUUAGAUACCCUGGUAGUCCACGCCGUAAACGAUGUCAACUAGCCGUUGGAAUCCUUGAGAUUUUAGUGGCGCAGCUAACGCACUAAGUUGACCGCCUGGGGAGUACGGUCGCAAGAUUAAAACUCAAAUGAAUUGACGGGGGCCCGCACAAGCGGUGGAGCAUGUGGUUUAAUUCGAAGCAACGCGAAGAACCUUACCUGGCCUUGACAUGCAGAGAACUUUCCAGAGAUGGAUUGGUGCCUUCGGGAACUCUGACACAGGUGCUGCAUGGCUGUCGUCAGCUCGUGCCG
rnacentral:rRNA from 1 species